rnacentral:piRNA from 1 species
GAGGUGUUGUGGUGGGCUCUGCCCAGUA